rnacentral:rRNA from 1 species
AACGAACGCUGGCGGCAUGCCUAACACAUGCAAGUCGAACGAGACCUUCGGGUCUAGUGGCGCACGGGUGCGUAACGCGUGGGAACCUGCCCUUAGGUUCGGAAUAACUCCCCGAAAGGGGUGCUAAUACCGGAUAAUGUCUUCGGACCAAAGAUUUAUCGCCUUUGGAUGGGCCCGCGUUGGAUUAGCUAGUUGGUAGGGUAACAGCCUACCAAGGCGACGAUCCAUAGCUGGUCUGAGAGGAUGAUCAGCCACACUGGGACUGAGACACGGCCCAGACUCCUACGGGAGGCAGCAGUGGGGAAUAUUGGACAAUGGGCGAAAGCCUGAUCCAGCAAUGCCGCGUGAGUGAUGAAGGCCUUAGGGUUGUAAAGCUCUUUUACCCGGGAUGAUAAUGGCAGUACCGGGAGAAUAAGCUCCGGCUAACUCCGUG